CAAGGUUUUAUGGAAGAAGAGUCAGAAUGUUGAGCUGGAUUUCAAAGAGCUCAGCAAAGAAGACCAGAAUGGGCAUCAGCUACCUCCUGAAUCACUGCCCAGUUGCCAGCUGCAAGUCCUAGUUCCAAAGAAGCAAAUGUCCACAGCACAAGGCCAGAAGACUCUCUGAAAGGGUAGUGCUGUCAGAUAAUAGCAGAAGGAGCUGCUAUUCUGAAGUCAGGCGCAGUUCACAUUAGCUUCAGGAUUAAUUUCAU